UCUCAGUAUCACUGUGUCUGAACUUAAGAAGUUCUAAACUUCUGAACUGUGCCGUGCUCAAUUGACUUUAGAUAUUAUCAAGAUAAUUUGAGACAAAUCAUAUGAAUCCAGAAUCCAUGAUGGUUGACAUGACAGCUCCCUAGCUACUCAGGGGCAGAAGUUGGAAGAAUUUGAAUGAAUAAUUGGUCAUUGUUUCUUCAUGGCUUCACUGUUACAAGAGACUAGUUCACAGCUGUACUGAAAGGUUAAAUAGGCCGAUUUCGAGAUUUGUGGAGCCUAGAAUACUUUAUUCAAGAAUAUUUUUAAACAAAUAAUUGUUGGAAGGUGUUUUUGAAAGCUGCAUAUUGUACACAAAUACAGCUAUAUAGUUGGUGUCGGUUUCAUAAAAUACACAGAAUAACGUCACCAGCAAGAUUGAUGAGUUUAGAUUGCCUCGAUCAGGACCCACCAUCGAGAAGGACCCCAGAUGUGUGGAUAGAGGUUGUCAAGAUGAUCUCUUCAACCAUCUGCUAUCUGUUGAAGCAGCUUAAGACAUGAAAGCAGGGAAUUUUGGACACAAUAAACAUUAGCCAUAUCGGGAAGGAGCCUUAUGAAAGCAGUGCAUUUUCAGUGCACUGUGAGAGAGUGAUUUGUUCAUUUAACUGGUUCACAGGCAGGUUUUGACUGUUGCAAGCUGGGAAAAAUAUACACAGCGGUAUUUACACCUGAAGCAAGUCUACACACUACUAACAACCAUGUUUAAGACUGCAACCCGUAUUCUACACACCAUAAGGUCGCGUGCACACGGCCGAACUUUGUUCGAUUUGACGUCAGAAGCGGAGAAACCGCCGCAAAGUUCUCACUUUUCUCGCUGUUUCUCCGCUUCUGACGUCACAUCGGACAAAGUUCGUCGACAAAAGCUCGACCGUGUAGACGGGGCCUAACAAGCGCAGCCCCGGCCUGGCAUGGUAAAGGAAACUAUAUGUGUACUAACUCGGCAAAUUGUCAUAGAGGAUAUAUUAACAAAUUCGUUAACUGCAUAUAAAUAAUCUAUAUUUAACUAGUAGAUGGAUUUAUUUUAAAAUUUAUAAUAUAGCUUAAUAGUAUCUAUAAAUCAUGGACGUAGUGACCAGAGGUAAAAACGGCCAUGGAAUUCCUUGUUUUCCAAGUUUCUGUUUCCAAAACAUCGUUUUACUUCAGGAACAAAUCUUAUAACACAAAUUUGUUGUGAGGCUGUCCACAGCCAUACAUUCUCGGGCUUUACCAGUGCCUA